UACGAAGGGGGCUAGCGUUGCUCGGAAUCACUGGGCGUAAAGCGCACGUAGGCGGCUUUCUAAGUCAGGGGUGAAAUCCUGGAGCUCAACUCCAGAACUGCCUUUGAUACUGGGGAUCUCGAGUCCGGGAGAGGUGAGUGGAACUGCGAGUGUAGAGGUGAAAUUCGUAGAUAUUCGCAAGAACACCAGUGGCGAAGGCGGCUCACUGGCCCGGUACUGACGCUGAGGUGCGAAAGCGUGGGGAGCAAACGGG
rnacentral:rRNA from 1 species